rnacentral:rRNA from 1 species
GCGUUAUCCGGAAUUAUUGGGCGUAAAGCGCGCGCAGGCGGAUGCUUAAGUAGGGCGUGAAAUCUCCCGGCCUAACUGGGAGGGGUCGCUCUAGACUGGGCAUCUUGAGGAUGGCAGAGGUAGGUGGAAUUCCUGGUGUAGUGGUGAAAUGCGUAGAGAUCAGGAGGAACACCGGUGGCGAAGGCGGCCUACUGGGCCAUUGCUGACGCUGAGGCGCGAAAGCUCG